rnacentral:rRNA from 1 species
GAUGAACGCUGGCGGCGUGCCUAAUACAUGCAAGUCGAGCGAACAGACGAGGAGCUUGCUCUUCUGACGUUAGCGGCGGACGGGUGAGUAACAAGUGGAUAACCUACCUAUAAGACUUGGAUAACUUCGGGAAAACGGAGCUAAUACCGGCUCAUAUAUUGAACCGCAUGGUUCAAUAGUGAAAGACGGUUUUGCUGUCACUUAUAGAUGGAUCCGCGCCGCAUUAGCUAGUUGGUAAGGUAACGGCUUACCAAGGCAACGAUGCGUAGCCGACCUGAGAGGGUGAUCGGCCACACUGGAACUGAGACACGGUCCAGACUCCUACGGGAGGCAGCAGUAGGGAAUCUUCCGCAAUGGGCGAAAGCUUGACGGAGCAACGCCGCGUGAGUGAUGAAGGUCUUCGGAUCGUAAAACUCUGUUAUUAGGGAAGAACAAAUGUGUAAGUAACUAUGCACGUCUUGACGGUACCUAAUCAGAAAGCCACGGCUAACUACGUG